rnacentral:ribozyme from 1 species
UAUCUAAAUAAAAAAAAAAAAAUAAAUAAAAUAAAAUAAAAAAUAACACAUCAUAAUACGAUUGUCAUUGUUCUCUCUUCUUCGUUUUUUUUACCUAUUCUAUCUUUCUUUUCCUUU